CCUCGCUCCCGGCUGCCGCUCGUAAACCCGAGCAGGCAGCAUCAGCACAGAAAUCACUCGAAAGAACCGGCCAUCUGCCUGCGCAAAACGAUGUGCUGAGUUUCUCUCUUGAAGAAUGAGCCUUUGCUUCGCUUUUCCUUCCAGCUGCUGGGAAAAUGUCAAGAUUAGAUGAGUCACACGGCAGAUCAGAUCUGAGUGACAAAGCCUGGACAUUGGCUGCUUUACUGCCCUGUUAACCUGGAGGAACUGACUGGAAUUUAUUGCCUUAGGAACACUGGUGCACAUAGCUGACAUCUGGAUUUAAAGAAAGCUUUGCAGGCCAAUACAUUGUCUCCUAAACCUUUACUCCCACUACUUAUACGAUUAAUACUUCAUUUUUGUAAAACUAAAUAAAUAAGGCUCAUUCGUAUAACA
rnacentral:lncRNA from 1 species